GAGUGGCGCACGGGUGAGUAACACGUAGAUAAUCUACCCCCAAGCCCGGGAUAACCAUUCGAAAGGAUGGCUAAUACCGGAUGUUGUUCAUAUGCACAAGUGUAUGGAUAAAAGACUGCCUAUUCAUGAAAGCAGUUGUUUGGGGAUGAGUUUGCGUACCAUUAGCUUGUUGGUGGGGUAACGGCCUACCAAGGCUGUGAUGGUUAGCUGGUCUGAGAGGAUGAUCAGUCACACUGGAACUGGAACACGGUCCAGACUCCUACGGGAGGCAGCAGUGAGGAAUUUUGCGCAAUGGGGGCAACCCUGACGCAGCAACGCCGCGUGAGUGAAGAAGGCCUUUGGGUCGUAAAGCUCUGUCAAUCGGGAAGAAGUUACAUAUUGCAAACAGUGGUAUGUAUUGACGGUACCGGUGGAGGAAGCGCCGGCUAACUCCGUGCCAGCAGCCGCGGUAACACGGGGGGCGCAAGCGUUAUUCGGAAUUAUUGGGCGUAAAGGGCGCGUAGGCGGUCUUAUCGGUCAGAUGUGAAAGCCCGGGGCUCAACCCUGGAAGUGCAUUUGAAACAGUAAGACUUGAGUACGGGAGAGGAAAGCGGAAUUCCUGGUGUAGAGGUGAAAUUCGUAGAUAUCAGGAGGAACACCGAUGGCGAAGGCAGCUUUCUGGACCGAUACUGACGCUGAGGCGCGAAGGC
rnacentral:rRNA from 1 species